UUCAAUAACAUAAAAUAUAACAUCUGCACAUAAAUCGUCCUACUAUAACAACAACUUGAUCCAAACAAAACACAUAACCAAUAAACAUCAAAUUGUCACCUAAAGCAUCCAACUGCUUCUUCCCCGAACCCGGAGGCCGUCCUCUUUGUUUCUUAGCACCCGAAUCCGCAUUCGGGUUGCCACCACCACCAUUAGAAUCCUCCAAACGUCCACCACCACCACCACCACCGCCACCAGUAACCGGCGCCGGAGCUAACCGAAGAGCAAUGUUACCAUCAGGACCCGGCGAAUACUUCCUGGGCCGGCCUCUCUUCUUCCUCACCGGCUCAAUGUUAAACCCACCGGGAGGAUCCGACCCGCCUCCGUACUGACCCGACCCGUCAAGCCCGAACCGUUCGUGAGUUACGAUGCUGUUAUUGCUCGCCGGAGCAGCUGUAGAACUGUUGGGCAUCUGGUGUCGGUGUUGGUGGGUGGUGUAACUGUUCGGUGGCAUAAUCAUCCUCCCCGGCGGCAGGUGGUGGUGGUGAACCUGGUGGUGGUGGGGUUGAUGCCGUGGCAGUGACGAUGGUUGAUGUGGAUUGUUUUGGUCUAGUUGAAGUUGAAAAUGGGAUUUAAGGGUGAAGGGAAUUAGGGUUUUGAAGAAGAGAUUACAGGUAGGAAGGUGAAGGUGGUGUAGAGAGGGGGUGACACCUGGUGUAGUGAUCAUGGUCAAAUCUGCUUACACAUUUCGUCGCCAAUUUUGAAUCUUCUUCUCUCAACUGUAUCUACUCUUUAAAAAUCAAUUCGAAUUUUGAUUCCAAAAUAUGCGACAAAAUAAGUUAACAAUGGAUAUAGAUUAUAGGGAUUGCAAUCAAAUUUGAACUCUU
rnacentral:lncRNA from 1 species